ACUCCUACGGGAGGCAGCAGUGGGGAAUAUUGCACAAUGGGCGCAAGCCUGAUGCAGCCAUGCCGCGUGUGUGAAGAAGGCCUUGGGUUGUAAAGCACUUUCAGUCGUGAGGAAGGUAGUGUAGUUAAUAGCUGCAUUAUUUGUACGUUAGCGACAGAAGAAGCACCGGCUAACUCCGUGCCAGCAGCCGCGGUAAUACGGAGGUGCGAGCGUUAAUCGGAAUUACUGGGCGUAAAGCGCAUGCAGGUGGUUGUUAAGUCAGAUGUGAAAGCCCGGGGCUCAACCUCGGAAUAGCAUUUGAAACUGGCAGACUAGAGUACUGUAGAGGGGGUAGAAUUUCAGGUGUAGCGGUGAAAUGCGUAGAGAUCUGAAGGAAUACCGGUGGCGAAGGCGGCCCCUGGACAGAUACUGACACUCAGAUGCGAAAGCGUGGGAGCAAACAGGAUU
rnacentral:rRNA from 1 species